UGUAAGCGUAUACCAAAGUUGUUGCAGUUAAAACGCUCGUAGUCGGAAUUUGGCAGUUCCGGAUGUGUGCACGUCGUGUGCGCACUUCGCGGGGAUUGCUUUUGUGGUCUUGCGUAGGAUGAGGCACUUUUAUUAGUGAACGUCCUCACGCAACCACUUUUUACUGUGAGAAAAUCAGAGUGCUCAAAGCAGGCAUUUGCCGUGAAUGUAUUAGCAUGGAAUAAUAGAAUAGGACUUGGUUCUAUUUUGUUGGUUUGUUGGGACUGAGUAAUGAGUAAGAGGGACAGUUGGGGGCAUUUGUAUUUCGGUGCUAGAGGUGAAAUUCUUAGAUUACCGAAAGACAAACUGCUGCGAAAGCGUCUGCCAAGGAUGUUUUCAUUGA
rnacentral:rRNA from 1 species